AUGAUGCUACCGGUUCUGAAGCCGGUAGUGAUGAGGGUUAUGAGUCCUUGGAGGGCUAAGUUUAUUUUAUUUUUCAUAUUAUGUUUUAUUUCUAUUGUAUUUUCAGAUUUGUGUAUUUUGAUUUUGGUUAUGUACUUUUGGGGUGUUUUGUCCCCCAUGCACAAUUUUAAAUUUUGAAGUAAUGUUAUUAUUUAUGUUUUAAA
rnacentral:lncRNA from 1 species